UACGUAGGGGGCAAGCGUUGUCCGGAUUUAUUGGGCGUAAAGAGCUCGUAGGCGGUUCGAUAAGUCGGAUGUGAAAUCUCCACGCUCAACGUGGAGAGGCCAUUCGAUACUGUCGUGACUCGAGUCCGGUAGGGGAGUGUGGAAUUCCCGGUGUAGCGGUGAAAUGCGCAGAGAUCGGGAGGAACACCCGUAGCGAAGGCGGCACUCUGGGCCGGUACUGGACGCUGAGGAGCGAAAGCGUGGGGAGCAAACAGG
rnacentral:rRNA from 1 species